rnacentral:rRNA from 1 species
UACAGAGGUCCCAAGCGUUAUUCGGGAUCACUGGGCUUAAAGGGUGCGUAGGCGGCGCAGAAAGUAGGGUGUGAAAUCCCUCGGCUCAACCGAGGAACUGCGCUCUAAACUACUGUGCUCGAGGGAGAUAGAGGUGAGCGGAACUUAGGGUGGAGCGGUGAAAUGCGUUGAUAUCCUAAGGAACACCGGUGGCGAAAGCGGCUCACUGGAUCUCUUCUGACGCUGAGGCACGAAAGCUAGGGUAGCAAACGGG